rnacentral:lncRNA from 1 species
CGGUGUACGGGUACGGGUAGCAUGAUUUUGGUUAGCAAUAUUUUCGGCGAUGUCUGUACCUUUACUCGUAAUUAAGGUGCACAUUUUUCGCAUUAUAUCAUUGUCUAUUGCAAGAAAACAGAAAAAGUAUGAUCGAAUUACAGACAUCAGUAAAACAAGAUGACACCACUCGUACCCGUACACCGAAACCGGGGUAUCUUAACCUCUCU